GUGAGGAAUAUUGGUCAAUGGGCGCAAGCCUGAACCAGCCAUGCCGCGUGCAGGAAGACGGUCCUAUGGAUUGUAAACUGCUUUUAUUUGGGAAUAAACUCCGGUACGUGUACCGGCCUGAAGGUACCAAAUGAAUAAGCACCGGCUAACUCCGUGCCAGCAGCCGCGGUAAUACGGAGGGUGCAAGCGUUAUCCGGAAUCAUUGGGUUUAAAGGGUCCGCAGGCGGUCUUAUAAGUCAGUGGUGAAAGCCUACAGCUCAACUGUAGAACUGCCAUUGAUACUGUAGGAAUUGAAUUCGAUCGAAGUGGGCGGAAUGUGACAUGUAGCGGUGAAAUGCUUAGAUAUGUCACAGAACACCGAUAGCGAAGGCAGCUCACUAGGUCUGGAUUGACGCUCAGGGACGAAAGCGUGGGGAGCAAACAGGAUUAGAAACCCGGGUAGUCC
rnacentral:rRNA from 1 species